rnacentral:rRNA from 1 species
AAUAUGUGACAAUGGUCGAAAGCCUGACCCAGCCAUGCCGCGUGAGUGAAGAAGGUCUUCGGAUUGUAAAGCACUUUAAGUUGAGAGGAAGGGCAGUAAGUUAAUACCUUGCAAUUUUGACGUUACCGACCGAAUAAGAACCGGCUAACUUCGUGCCACCAUCCGCGGUAAUACGAAGGGUGCAAGCGUUAAUCGGAAUUACCGGGCGUAAAGCGCGCGUAGGUGGUUCGUUAAGUUGGAUGUGAAAGCCCCGGGCUCAACCUGGGAACUGCAUCCAAAACUGGCGAGCUAGAGUACGGUAGAGGGUGGUGGAAUUUCCUGUGUAGCGGUGAAAUGCGUAGAUAUAGGAAGGAACACCAGUGGCGAAGGCGACCACCUGGACUGAUACUGACACUGAGGUGCGAAAGCGUGGGGAGCAAACAGG